UUUAAUAGAUACACACAAGAGAAUUCAACGUCAUAAAUUCGUCAUAAAGAGGCGACGUUAAGUUUGUUUACCGCCAGUUCAACAUGGAGGAUUCCUCCUUAACAGCCGCUCUGCUCUGCUCCGUGGUCAGCCUGACCGGGCCCCCGGUGUCCCCGGUGCCCCCGGUGUCCGGUACCGGGAUGUCGGAGCUGUGGCGGCUGCAGGCGGCCGUGUUGAGGCGGGGCAGGGCCCGGGAGAUGCUGCAGCGGGACCGGAGGAGGAGGCAGUAUCUCCGGAGGAGGAGGGCGUUCCUGCUGUCCUCCGUCACCGCCAUCCUCAGCCUCAUCUCGGCCAGCAGCAGCAGACACGUCUGGGUCCGGAACCGGACCCCCGGCCACAACUUCUGGGCCCAGGCCCAGACCUUCGACCAGGACGAGUGGAAGGCCCAGUUCCGCGUGUCCCGGCUGACCUUUGACUACCUGCUGGAUCGGAUCGGCCCGGCUAUCAAACGCCGGCGGACCAACUACCGCGCCCCGAUCGAGCCGCGGCGCCGCCUGGCCAUCACGCUGUGGUGGCUGGCCCGGUCCGGGGAGUACCGCUCCAUCGCCGGCCUGUUCGGAGUGGGCAUCGCCACGGUGUGUGUCAUCGUCAGGCAGGUGACCUCGGCCAUCGUGGAGCGGCUGUACCGCCGCGUGGUGUCUCUGCCGAGCGGCCGGCGGCUGGACGCCACCAUGGCGGCCUUCAGGGACCGCUGCUACCCGCAGUGCGCCGGUGCCAUCGGCAGCACUCACAUCCCCAUCGCCCCCCCCAGAGACAACCCGGACCACUACGUCAACCGGCGGGGCUGGCACUCAGUGGUGCUGCAGGCCGUGGUCGACCACAACAUCUGUUUCACGGACGUGUACGCUGGCUGGCCCGGCGGGACCAGCAGCGCCGCGGUGCUGUCCAGCUCAGACCUGUACCUGAAGGCAGAGGACCGGCCGGACGGUUACCUGUUCCCUCGACAGAAAUCCAUCGUGUGUGACGGCGUGGAGAUCCCCGUGCACCUGAUCGGCGACGCGUCCUUCCCUCUGAAGCCGUGGCUGAUGAAGAGCUACCGCCCGGAGCAGCAGCUGUCCGCCGAGCGCCGUCGUUUCUCCUCCAGCCUGGCGUCGGCCCGCUCCGUGGUCCACGCCGCCUUCACGCGUCUCCGAGGACGCUGGCGCUGCCUGCUGAAGAAGAGCGACAUCGACGUCUCCGCGAUGCCGCGCGUGGUGGCGGCAUGCUGCGUGCUGCACAACAUCUGCGAGAGCCGCGGAGACGCCUUCCUCCCCGAGUGGAACGCCGAAAUCUGUCCUCCGGCAAACGGCGUGAGACAGCCGGACGCCGAAACGUACGCCGAAGACACAUACUGCACCGCCGAGGUCAUCAGAGACACGGUCGCUUACAACAUGCUGACUAUACUGCAGUACUAAUACUCAACAUGCUGACUAUACUGCAGUACUGAUACUAUACUGCAGUACUGAGACUAUACUGCAGUACUGAUACUAUACUGCAGUACUGAGUACAUGCUGACUAUACUGCAGUACUAAUACUCAGCAUGCUGACUAUACUGCAGUACUGAUACUAUACUGCAGUACUGAGUACAUGCUGACUAUACUGCAGUACUAAUACUCAACAUGCUGACUAUACUGCAGUACUGAUACUAUACUGCAGUACUGAGUACAUGCUGACUAUACUGCAGUACUAAUACUCAGCAUGCUGACUAUACUGCAGUACUGAUACUAUACUGCAGUACUGAGUACAUGCUGACUAUACUGCAGUACUAAUACUCAACAUGCUGACUAUACUGCAGUACUGAUACUAUACUGCAGUACUGAUACACAACAUGCUGACUAUACUGCAGUACUAAUACUCAACAUGCUGACUAUACUGCAGUACUGAUACUAUACUGCAGUACUGAGUACAUGCUGACUAUACUGCAGUACUAAUACUCAACAUGCUGACUAUACUGCAGUACUGAUACUAUACUGCAGUACUGAUACACAACAUGCUGACUAUACUGCAGUACUAAUACUCAACAUGCUGACUAUACUGCAGUACUGAUACUAUACUGCAGUACUGAUACUCAACAUGCUGACUAUACUGCAGUACUGAGUACAUGCUGACUAUACUGCAGUACUGAGUCUAACAGACUUUAUUAAUUCCUGCGGGAUUUUAAUGUUUUUAUUGACAAAAGAGGAAAAGGACAGACAGCCUUCUAACUGUCCCAACAGCAGGCUGAAUAACUUUAUUAACAUGCUGAUUAAUAACAGGACAGAGAGCCCUGAGUGAAGACUGAGAGAAUAACUUUAUUAACAUGCUGAUUAAUAACAGGACAGAGAGCCCUGAGUGAAGACUGAGAGAAUAACUUUAUUAACAUGCUGAUUAAUAACAGGACAGAGAGCCCUGAGUGAAGACUG